GAUCUACAAGCUAAGGUCUAAUAUCCUCAAAACAAAUGGAAAGACAGAACAUCUUAGCAGGGAAAUAAAAGAUUCAACUGGCUCAUGGUUUGUACCGGGGGAACCAAGCCCAUGGUUGGGAUCCAGGGGUCCCUCCAGUCUCCUGUUCCAUGGUCGCACACACCUUGAGGGCACCCACACGGUUUGAUCGUCUCCUUAUAUUGCUGCUGGCAGACUCGUGACGGGGUUUCUCAUUCAUCUGCCUGCAAUGAUCACGACUCUCUCUCUCUCAGCCUACAACACCUGAUGGACUCAAUAGCAGAAUGAGAGUGAGAUGACUGAAAGAGGAAUCAGUGAACUUGAACCUAGAUCAACAGAAACUAUCCAAUUUGAAUAAGAGACAAAAGCAUUGAAAA
rnacentral:lncRNA from 10 species